AAUAAUGUGCCUGAUUAAAGGAUUAUCUUGAUAGGAUAAAUCAAGUAAUUAUAUUACCAUUAUUA
rnacentral:tRNA from 1 species